rnacentral:tRNA from 1 species
GUCCAGGGUAGCCUAGUGGACAUGGCAUCUGCCCGGUAAGCGGAACAUUGUGGGUUCAAUUCCCAUUCCUGGGCA